AUCGCUUCUCAGCCUUUUGGCUAAGAUCAAGUGUAGUAUCUGUUCUUAUCAGUUUAAUAAAUAUUUAAAAAAACAACAACACAUAAACAGACUUAGGUAUUGAAUGUAGUAUAAAUCUUCUAACUACUAAAUGGUAU
rnacentral:snRNA from 1 species